GAAUCCCAUCACAUUCUAAUAGGUGGUUACAGCAUUACUCACACUGCAAAGAUGGCAGAACUGAGUCACAGGUGUUUAUAUUGAUUAUUCAACAAGUGACAGAACUAAGGUUUGUCACUUGAACCGAUGGUCGCCUGACUCUAAACAUUCACUCUGGUCCUUUGUGGCUUGAAGAUGUCCCUUCCCUUGUGAGCAGCUCAUGCGUGGACCAGGAGAGCAGAUGAGCAGGCAUCCACAUACAAGUGGGCUGAUGAACGGAUGUCCAACCAGAGAUGUCCCUCUGUUUUGUCCCCAUACACAUGUCCUUCUCUCCCCAGGCCCGAAAGGGUGGAGCAGCCACUGGGGUUGACACUGUCUGCGUCCACCAUCCUGACUCUGUGGACCUCACGCUGGACAUGGAGUGGCUCUGCUGAGAGCUGAGCCACCAGCCCCAUGGUGUCGCCCGGCUUGCACAGGGACUGUCUCUGCGUUACACCAGACCAGCCUUGACCUCCAUCCCCAGUGGUUCUGUGACUUCUAUACCCUCCUUGAGAACCCCAGAGGCUCCAGUCUCCUCCACCUCUACAGAAAGAGCCUUCCCUCUGUGUCUCCUUCCUUCCCACCUCCAUGCCUCCAUGCUUAGCCUUGAGAAGGACCAGAGAUCAUGCACAGGCAGCUCAAGGCUGGGGGACAGAGUGGGAGGAUGAACCUUUGGGUCUAUACCCUCACCACAGACCCGUCCAGCUCCACCCCUGGGUUUGGAGAGCUCUGUGACUCCAGGUUCUCAGUUCCAGACUGAAGCAGUGGCUCCUUUUAAUCCACCCCUUGCUUUCUGUUAAGGUUUGGUAUCAGUUAGUUUUACUGCAUAACAAACAACCCGCACAUUUACUGGAUUAAAACACUGAUCAUUGAUUACUGCUCACUAGUGUGCAGGUCAGCUGGGCAGCGCCUCUGGCUUGAACGGGGCUUCCUUACGUGUCUGCCAUUGCCUGCAGGUGAGCUGGGUGACUGCUCCUGGAGGACACCUGACUGAUGGAGAGGUCGCCUUGGUUGUCCUUCCUCUGACCUCAGCAUCCAGCAGACCAGCCCCGGCUCAUUCAUGUGCUCACAGAGCUCCCAGAGGGCAAGCCCCAGAACACAAGCAUUUUUCCAGCCUUUGCUCGCAUCAGGUUUCUCUCAUCCCUUUGACCAAAGCAAGUCAUGGCCAAGCCGGAGUCAUGGGGUGGAGGUGGCCUCCCCACCUUGGUCUCAGGGGCUGCAACACCAUGUUGAAGGUGUCGUUGCAGGGAGCUGAGGAAUUUGUGGCCAUUUUUACAGCCCUUCCCAGGUGACCUGCCAGGACCAACUCGUGACCAUGUUGGCCUCAGGGGACCUGGAGGGGUCAGUCAGUGAGGCCAGAUCCAGUGGUGCCUUCUGGAACAAUUCCUGAAACUUCCCCUUCUCCCAGAAUGGAAUGGACACCGUCAAGGGCAAACCCAGGACUAAUUCCCAAGGGGCAGGGGAUAGAGGGGUGGGCAGAGAAAGCAGGCAUAAUAAUAACAACAGUACAGCAAAGCAAUGACAGCAGCCUUCACUGAUUGUCACAUAACAGGGACCUUGCUUCACACGUAUGACCUUCAGCCACUGCAGGUAGACACUGCUGUUUCUCCAUUUGAGAGAGGCACAGGCUGGUUCUUGGGGGCUCAGUGAUUUUCUGAGGCCGCACAGCCAGCAGAUGCACAGGACUCAACUCUAAGUCAUUCAAACCCUAGAGUCUGAGCUUUUGCUCUAAAAUAGCUGUGUGGCCUUGGGGAAGUGACUUAACCUCU
rnacentral:lncRNA from 1 species